rnacentral:rRNA from 1 species
UAGGGAAUCUUCGGCAAUGGACGAAAGUCUGACCGAGCAACGCCGCGUGAGUGAAGAAGGUUUUCGGAUCGUAAAACUCUGUUGUUAGAGAAGAACAAGGACGUUAGUAACUGAACGUCCCCUGACGGUAUCUAACCAGAAAGCCACGGCUAACUACUUGCCAGCAGCCGCGGUAAUACGUAGGUGGCAAGCGUUGUCCGGAUUUAUUGGGCGUAAAGCGAGCGCAGGCGGUUUCUUAAGUCUGAUGUGAAAGCCCCCGGCUCAACCGGGGAGGGUCAUUGGAAACUGGGAGACUUGAGUGCAGAAGAGGAGAGUGGAAUUCCAUGUGUAGCGGUGAAAUGCGUAGAUAUAUGGAGGAACACCAGUGGCGAAGGCGGCUCUCUGGUCUGUAACUGACGCUGAGGCUAGAAAGCGUGGGGAGCAAACAGG